rnacentral:tRNA from 1 species
UCCUGGUGGCUCAGACAGUAAAGAAUCUGCCUUCAAUGCAGGAGACCUGGGUUCAAUUCCUAGGUCAGGAA